GAUCUGCAUGGCAACAUUAGUUGCCAUAUGAAAGAAAAAUUAGGAGUCCUAUUCUGUUAGCGAGGAAUAAAGGUAUUACCCGUUGAGUCACAGCUGUGAGGACCCGUCCUAAAAUAGUUCUAGAGCCCCUUCUAGUAAGGGCCGUGUCUGCACUAAGAAGAGAGAAGAAACCCCCGGGGUAACACGGCUGCAGUGGGCAUGGCCACCAAAAGAUAGGAGCAAAAUGAGCAAAGUACACCCCUAUGUGUGUAUGGAAAAUCCUAGCUUAAGAAGAGGAUGAACACGAAGCCAGCCUGCCCUACGACCUGGCCUUCUGACGCUGUCCAAGAGGGACUCUCCCUAGAAUAUGCUCCCAGGCUAUUUAGCUGUGGAGAAGAUGACAUCUGUACAUCAAGGUAAUUAGAGAUCCAUCUUGCGGCAUCAGGACCACCUCUCGGCUCAUUUGUGUGUUGAUCAAAUAGCAGCAGCUUCUAUCUGCUACUUCCAGCUCUAAAGAACUUCCCUGACCAUCCGAUACCUGAAUCCCCUUGGUGUUUUUCAUGUUUGAACCCAGCGUGAAACACUGGCAUGCUUGCAAAUGCCAUAAAAGACAGUGCUGCCUACUGAAAAGGGUCUGGUGAGACUGGCCAGUGGUGAGCUCUUUGGCAAGUCGAUUUCAGCUCUGCCAUGUGUCAAACGGAUACAAGAGCGCCUAUCUUACACAGACUUUCUUCUGCAGAAUAAAGUACUGUAUUGGGAAAGGACCUCAUACAAUGUCUGGAAAAUGCAAUUCAACUAUUCUCUUGCACAACUAUAUAAAGGCAAAGUAUGAACACAAAUGAACCAAGAAGUUGGCCAAUGUAGCAUUCUACUCAGAUCACAAUCUUUCCUGAAACAUCCUCUUUAGCAACAUGAGCAUGAAUUUCUCUGGAGAGACUGAAAUACCACCAACCCCAUUUCAAAAUAAAGAUGCCCAGCUCCCCAAGUUUCAAGACAAGUCUGCUCCCAUUCUUUUUAAAAUUAAGUAUCAAUUUAGUUCUCAACAUACUCAAUGAUGAAGCCUCCUCAUCCAAUGGUAAGAAACACUAGAUUUAAGCAUUGCUCUCUUCUGAUUGCUGUAAUGCUCCAUCUCGUCCUGUUAAAGCCGUGGAUAAGA